UCAGUGAUUGCAAAAGCAACAGAAUAGGGGAUUUUUUUUCACGCCCAGAAGUUUUGACAAUUAUGGGUUUAACCCUGUUGAUACCAACCCCACUGAAACCGCUUCUGGCUCUGUAAGUACAGAUGUCUUGUUUCAAAAGUUGUGAAUUAAAAUCUUCCACCAAACCUUAGUCACAAUUUAUGUUCUUAUCACUAGUUUUAUGAUAACUAAGUUAUUUUACUAAAUUCUUCGUUAUAUUUAAAAUUAAUUGAAAGAAACACAGAGCAUCUCAACAGAAGUAUGGUAACAAAAGGGUUAAAUACUUGAGCAUCUAUGGCUUCAUUUGAAGAAACUGAAUAUAAGUAAAUUGAGAGCAUUGUUUCGUUUAUAAUGGACCAAAUAAAUUAAGUUAAUUGGACUGUAAUGCUGAUAUAUAUAUACAAACAUACACACAUACAUACAUAGAUACAUACAUACAUACAUACAUACAUACAUACAUGCAUACAUACAUACAUACAUACAUACAUACAUACAUACAUACAUACAUACAUACAUACAUACACACAUAGACUAUGUCAUGUUUCUGUGAAAGAUAUCACACAUGUGAUUAGCAGCUGUCCUAAAAUGUCGUCACAGUGUUACCGCCCUAUGUGGCAUGGUAUUGUUGCUAAAACAAUUUACAAAGCUAUCCACAAAAACGACUGUCCUGAAAUAAACUUAGAAAAUCCCUCUGUUAUGGAAUACAUUCAUAAACACCAACUCAAGGAAUACUGGUGUAAUAUUGACAUCAAAACUUCUGUCAAAUGUAAGAGGCCAGAUAUUGUUUUUGGCAACUUGUAUCUCCAUGUUAUAUUAUAAAUUUAAUACACCUUGUCCAAUCGUUGCUAAAUUGUUUACUCUUUAUAAGAUAUAAACAUUAAUUACUUAUUCUUUAUUUUACAGCUUUGGUAAUGAGUGGUGAAAAAAAUGCCAUCAGAGACAUUUUAUGCUACCUGAAAAAAGAUAAAAAAGAAAGAAACUGAGUGUAUGGGUAGUAGCAAAAGCAAUUGAUAAUGCUAACGAAUGUGUGACACAAAACUGGUUCAGAUGUUUCAAGGAAGGUGACACCAGCCUCUAAGACAAACAAUGGGGAUGAAAAAUGGACCUAUUUGCAUAAUCCUAAUAAGAGAAAUUAGUGGCUUCAUUCCAGCUAGACUUCAGUAACUGUUGUCAAACAUGGGUGGCUUGAACAGAAGGUCAUCUUAUGUGUUUGUUGGAAUUUUGAGGGGAUAUUGCGCUUUGAACUUGUUCUAGAUGGUCAUGUUGUGAACACUAACCUUUAUACUCAACAACUGCAGUGAGUGUAUGAUGCUGUGAAAGCUAGCAUUGGUUAGUUGAAGAUGCACACUCCUACAGAAUGGCAAUGCUCCAGCACACAGUGCAAUGUGACUAAGUGCAAAUUUGAGGGAGUUGGAAAGCUGGAAGUGCCAUGUCACUCUGCCUACAAUGCAGACUUUUCACCAUCAUAUUACCAUCCUUUUGGAGCCAUGGCUCAUUUCCUACAUGGACAGAGGUUCAACAAUGUGAAUGAGGUUGAAAUUGGAUUCAGGGUGUUUUUUUUCUUCUAAGCCAGUGAAAUGGUACUAGUGUGAAAUUAAGCUUCUGGCACUACAAUGGCAACAGACAAUAAAGUAUGAUAGGAUAUAU
rnacentral:lncRNA from 1 species